AAUAGAUGGAUGAUGGAGGGAUGGAUAGCCAUAGAUGAACAGUGCCUUGCACACAAACUGCUGAGUGGAAGCAUUUCAGUGAGCAUGACAGCCUGUGGCACGGAUAUAUAUGUAUUUUUG